rnacentral:lncRNA from 1 species
UAGGUAUUGUGGGUCAAAUUCGACCCAGAAGCGGACAUUUUCGGUAAUUAUUCUUUUAAUAUUUAUGCUACGACUGCGCGCUUCUACGUAUUCUCAGUGCGUCGCUAGCUGCGGCGGGGGGGCGGAUGUGCAGCGCUGCAACUAUCUUAGAAGCAAAGUGAAUAUUUCUACUACAAUGGGGGCUUUUUGAACGAUAGACAAAUCGAGGAAUUGAUGAACGACUCAAAUGAUGAUUUGGAAUCGGAAAAUCGGAAAGGACACCAAAUAUAAACCAACUUUCAGUUAUCAGUCCCAGUUUGAAGAAUCAGUUGCAUCGACCUCUUCUGCAGCUUCAAUUUCAAGUCGGAAAAGGGCCCGAUGCUACCUAUGCGAUUGGAAAAAUGACCGAAAACAUUCUCUAAAAUGUUCUAAAUGUUUACAUAUUAUUUGUAAGACACAUUCCUUCCAAAAUGUUCAGUGUUCUAGUUGUCAGAAAGUAUAAAGACUAAUCUUGUUAGUUUGGAAAAAGUCGUUUUGAUUUUGGUUGUCAUUUUUUUUAUUUUAUGCUGAUCUCAGAAGUAAUUUAUUUUUUUGUUAUCAUAAGGAUAU